rnacentral:rRNA from 1 species
GAUGAACGCUGGCGGCGUGCUUAACACAUGCAAGUCGAACGGAAAGGCUCCUGCUUGCAGGGGUACUCGAGUGGCGAACGGGUGAGUAACAAGUGGGUGAUCUGCCCUGCACUUCGGGAUAAGCCUGGGAAACUGGGUCUAAUACCGGAUAGGACGAUGGUUUGGAUGCCAUUGUGGAAAGUUUUUCGGUGGGGGAUGAGCUCGCGGCCUAUCAGCUUGUUGGUGGGGUAAUGGCCUACCAAGGCGUCGACGGGUAGCCGGCCUGAGAGGGUGUACGGCCACAUUGGGACUGCGAUACGGCCCAGACGCCUACGGGAGGCAGCAGUGGGGAAUAUUGCACAAUGGGCGCAAGCCUGAUGCAGCGACGCCGCGUGGGGGAUGACGGCCUUCGGGUUGUAAACUCCUUUCGCUAGGGACGAAGCGUUUUGUGACGGUACCUGGAGAAGAAGCACCGGCUAACUACGUG